CAGGGAGGUAGUGACAAGAAAUAACAAUACGGGGCUUAAUGUCUUGUAAUUGGAAUGAUGGGAAUUUAAACCUCUUCCAGAGUAUCAAUUGGAGGGCAAGUCUGGUGCCAGCAGCCGCGGUAAUUCCAGCUCCAAUAGCGUAUAUUAAAAUUGUUGCAGUUAAAAAGCUCGUUGUUGAAUUUCUGCUGCAUUACAUAUCUCUUGUUUGAGUUUGUUUUUGUGGCUUAUUUCGGUUUGAUUUUUACUUUCCGGAUGAUUACUUUGAGAAAAUUAGAGUGCUCUAAGCAGGCUUUUGCCUUGAAUAGUUUAGCAUGGAAUAAUAAAGUAGGACUUUGGUUCUAUUUUGUUGGUUUUAGGUACCAAAGUAAUGGUUAAUAGGAACAGUUGGGGGCAUUCGUAUUUAACUGUCAGAG
rnacentral:rRNA from 1 species